GUAGUUGAUUUUAAUACGCACUAGAUGGAUGCCUAGAAUUUAAACUUCUUCGUAAACAAAUUUACGAUAUCUAUUUAGUAAAUAACAUAUUGAUAUGUUUAUGUAUUGGAGAUUAAUAGAUAAAGUUAAAAAAAUAAUGAAGUGAAACAUCAUAGUAAUUAUUUUUAAAAACUCAAUUGAGAAUAGUAUAAUGGUGAGUAAAUACUAUAAGUUUUAUUAUUUUUAAAAAUUGAAAAAUUUGGAGAAAAUUUACCAUAGAAGGUGAAAGUCCUGUAAAUUUAUUUAAAUC
rnacentral:rRNA from 1 species